ensembl:misc_RNA 7SK 7SK RNA
AGAGCUAAUGGACAGAUCUAGUUGCCUGGUGGAUGGCUUCUCCUAUCUCGGUUGUUCUCUCCUCCCUCAGAGCUCCAUGAACAUCUUUCUCAAAGCUGCAGAUUUGGUUGGUCAAAGAGGACAAACCUUCAGAAAUAGUAUAGGACUGUUGUCAAUGAAAGGGAAAGGGAUAUGAGGAGCUGUGCUCCACUGCUGGACUUUCUAAACAAGGUCAAUUUGUGUUUUAUAAUAUUAUUAGAUCAAUAAGAAUUAACUGCAAAUAAAAUGCAAAUCGCUCAAUGUUUCAAUU